CCUACGGGCGGCAGCAGUGGGGAAUAUUCGUCAAUGGACGAGAGUCUGAACCAGCCAAGUCGCGUGAAGGAUGACUGCCCUAUGGGUUGUAAACUUCUUUUAUAUGGGAAUAAAAUGUUCCACGUGUGGGAAUUUGUAUGUACCAUAUGAAUAAGGAUCGGCUAACCCCGUGCCAGCAGCCGCGGUAAUACGGAGGAUCCGAGCGUUGUCCGGUUUUAUUGGGUUUAAAGGGAGCGUAGGUGGAUUGUUAAGUUAGUUGUGAAAGGUUGCGGCUCAACCGGAAAAUUGCAGUUGAAACUGGCAGUCUUGAGUACAGUAGAGGUGGGUGGAAUUCGUGGUGUAGCGGUGAAAUGCGUAGAUAUCACGAAGAACUCCGAUUGCGAAGGCAGUUCACUGGACUGCAACUGACACUGAGGCUCGAAAGUGUGGGGAUCAAACAGGAUUAGAUACCCGUGUAGUC
rnacentral:rRNA from 1 species